CACCGCCAUACCCAUCGGCUCUAUCUUCCCUGAGACAGGAAUAACCAGGAAUUUUAAAACAAAAUUCCGGUUUUAACCACGUCUCACAUAGAGCUAUAACACUAGGAUUAAAUUUAUUAAUAAGAUAAAUUAAAUCAGAUUUGUUCUUCACUACGCUUCUGCAGUUCCAUUGUAGAACUCUGCCUAAGUGAGCCAUUGUUAAAUAUGUCAGUUAUUAUUUUCAAUAAAGGGGCAACGUUGGACGGUAAAAUUGUUUGUGACAGUGAUGAAACUAAAGCUAUUAUAAUAUCGGCUACUGAUUGUGGUUCUGGCAGGGUACCAGUUUUAGGAAGUGCACACCCAUCAGCAUAAGUGGGAGAGUUGAAAUCACCUACAAGAGCUUGGUGGGCUGCACGAUCAUAACCUUGUAUCGAUUUAGGCGGAGAACGGGGCUUCAGAAAAACAGUUUUUUUUAUAAGAGUUACUGUGCAAUGGUUGAGUGGAUGGAGUUUUGACAUCUUGGCUGUUGGCUACAAAAGAAGAUGGGGGUGUAAACUUUAAUGUGUCAGCAUAUGAUUUUGUCACCGGAGGAUGUAUCUUUGAUGCUUCUGAGUAUGAAACGCAAUUUUGGGCCAUAUACUUUUUUAUAUUUGUCUGCCUACUGGCUUCUGGGCAAACCUUGCUAAUUGCAAUAUGGGGGCCGCCACAAAAGACAACAAUAACUAUUAUCUUGGUCGCAAUCACAAGAUGUACCAGUAUGCCCUUGUCCACAUUUAUAGCACCUUGGUUUAGAUCUGCAUGUAUCUUUAGUAUGUCCAUACCGGCAACAAUUGUAGCAUUGAAUUGAAGGAUAAAUGUAUAGUUCUACUUUGAGGGAAUUAAAACACAUAAAUACUCUUGUGGGAAGGACCUGACCAUCAAAAACAUGUCCACCGGUACACCUCUUACGAGUCCCAUCCUGGUAACGUUAAAAGAUGGAAUAAAAGCUUCAUAGCCUUUUUCCAAUAAGGCAUGAUGUUUUAAGAAAGAAUUUGCUGCUAAGUGACUUGUGAAUGCCAUUGAAAUUUUGUUGCGACCAAUACGCUUCAAACUGCCUUGUACUAUGUUUGACACCUGGUUUUUAUACAAAAAUCUGCCAAAGCAUAUUGGAUGCAAAUUAAGAUCUUGUGUUAUCUCUCCUGUACUAGACCUAGCAACAUGAAUAAUAAACGGUGAAGCAUCCAAUGCA
rnacentral:lncRNA from 1 species